UGCCUUUAUGUGUUGCCCAUUCGUUGCUUUCUACAGUGAAUGUGGUGUCAACAAAGGCAUACAGCAAUUUCUUGGAUCGGCCUUAGCAAGGUUCCUCCCCAGUGACCUUGUCUUAAGUUCUAUACCAAAUACAGUU
rnacentral:snoRNA from 1 species